AGGUAGGGUGGCCGAGCAGGCGGCGAGCUGUAGCCUCGUGCACGGGUCAAAGGGCCCCCCUGUCAA
rnacentral:tRNA from 1 species